GAUGAACGCUGGCGGCGUGCCUAAUACAUGCAAGUCGAGCGAACGGACGAGAAGCUUGCUUCUCUGAUGUUAGCGGCGGACGGGUGAGUAACACGUGGAUAACCUACCUAUAAGACUGGGAUAACUUCGGGAAACCGGAGCUAAUACCGGAUAAUAUUUUGAACCGCAUGGUUCAAAAGUGAAAGACGGUCUUGCUGUCACUUAUAGAUGGAUCCGCGCUGCAUUAGCUAGUUGGUAAGGUAACGGCUUACCAAGGCAACGAUGCAUAGCCGACCUGAGAGGGUUGUCCGCCACCCUUGAACUGAGACACGGUCCAGACUCCUACGGGAGGCAGCAGUAGGGAAUCUUCCGCAAUGGGCGAAAGCCUGACGGAGCAACGCCGCGUGAGUGAUGAAGGUCUUCGGAUCGUAAAACUCUGUUAUUAGGGAAGAACAUAUGUGUAAGUAACUGUGCACAUCUUGACGGUACCUAAUCAGAAAGCCACGGCUAACUACGUG
rnacentral:rRNA from 1 species